rnacentral:rRNA from 1 species
UACAGAGGGUGCGAGCGUUUGUUCGGAAUCAUUGGGCGUAAAGCGCGUGUAGGCGGCCCGGUAAGUCCGCUGUGAAAGUCGGGGGCUCAACUCUCGGAUGCCGGUGGAUACUGUCGGGCUAGAGUGCGGGAGAGGCGAGUGGAAUUCCUGGUGUAGCGGUGAAAUGCGCAGAUAUCAGGAGGAACACCAAUUGCGAAGGCAGCUCGCUGGAACGUUACUGACGCUGAGACGCGAAAGCGUGGGGAGCAAACAGG